UUGCACAGUUGUAAGUUAAGAGAUACGCCCAUCUGCACCGGAGCACAGGUAUUUAACCUGAGUUCCGGCGGUAGUAGGGGAGUGGUCUGAGGAAGUGUGCCUCGCACACGAAAUAGCUAUCACCGCUACGUGGACGGCGUCCAAGUCCUCCCUUGCCUUGUCUGUCAUUAUGCUGCACUUUAUGGAAUAAACAAGUUUGUUAUACUACGACACUGGUGUAUAUGAACUUGCCAAAAGCCACAAUAAGCAGUGCUGUGCCGAACGCUAUUCCUGCAUUUACCGUAAUUCACUUCUCCGCUUCUAGAGAUUUCAUUGGGAUCCCCGCAUGCAGGAUUGAGGGCGAGAAAUUCAAAUUGUGGAGUCUAUACCGGGGCUCUCUGAAGCCACUGCUAAGACAGUUUGGAAAUCUGUAGCUUCCAGCAGCUUUCCAACAGAAAGACUUGGCAUGGAUGGCCAUUCAAGAGGCUCUGCUCCUGAGAACAGGUGCUGCACAAGGUGCCCAUUCACCGAGAAAACUUUGCAUCUCUUUUGGCAGUGUCUAUUUGCCCUGGCCCUGCUAAACGCACUGGAAUAUGAACUUACAGACUCUGAUCCCAGGAGUAGCCUAAUGCAUUUUUUUGUGCUUUACUGACUUUUCCUGGAUAUUGCACUGUCGGGGCUCUCCAGGGGGGGCUGGCGCCUUAUGAACUGUUAUAAAAAAUGCUUUGCGGUUUGCCAGGAAACAACUUAUUUUAAACUCGGAGAUGUCCGUCCAGGACUUCCACAGGCUGGUCCGCAGCUUGCUGAGGAUAUAUUCCAUCAGGGAGAGUCUGGACGUCAAGGAGAAAGAGGA